rnacentral:rRNA from 1 species
UACAGAGGGUGCAAGCGUUGUUCGGAAUUAUUGGGCGUAAAGCGCGUGUAGGCGGCUUUGUAAGUCGGGUGUGAAAGCCCUCAGCUCAACUGAGGAAGUGCGCCCGAAACUGCAGAGCUUGAGUACCGGAGAGGGUGGCGGAAUUCCCCAAGUAGAGGUGAAAUUCGUAGAUAUGGGGAGGAACCCGGGUGCGAAGGCGGCCACCUGGACUGUAACUGACGCUGAGGCAUGAAAGCGUGGGGAGCAAACAGG